UGACCCAGCCCGCUGACCUCAAAGAGCUCAUACUGCUCAGAGACAGAUGAGCGCAGUUAAAUAUAAGCACGGCGCGGAAUGUGAUAAGGACUACAAAAGAACACAACGUUCCAUGGGAGUAAAGCAGCAGCCAAUUCUGACGGGGUCAGAAGGACCUGUAAGAGGAGAGGGAAGCUGUGCCCUAAAGGGAAACGCAGGACUUUGACAAGAAGAGAAGGCAGAGGGGAUGCAAUCCCAGGCUCACCGAGCCGUGGCACAAGCACCUGAAAAUACCGCCCAGACCACCUCUCCUGGAGCUUCUGCGUGAGCCGAAAUAGUUCCCCGGAGCUUUAACCUGUAAAUCUGACUGCCAACCAGAGGGCCCCACUUCCACAUCCCACAGGUCCCUGGGAAUGAAGAAGCCCCCAGUUUCAAUGCUACUACCCACCAAGUUUCCGAUGAUUUGUGGAGCGUUUGUCUGGGACCUGUCUCUUCUUUCGAAUGGAAACUCCUUGAGGACAGAGACUGGGUCUUGCAUUUACUGCUGCAUCCUAGCUCCCAGGACACCGCCUGAUACAGUGAGCAGGGCCUGUGUUUAUCAUGCAGGACUGCAUGGAUGAGUGGCUUCCUCAAUUUCCAAAACAGAAAUCAGUUUUCCCUCUGUUGGUCCCUUACGCAGGUUUCCCCUUGAAUUUCCUGCCUGGCUUAAAGGUGCCCCAUUCACCCAGCCUCAUAAGCUAGAAAUGGGGGCACGCCCUGGGCCCCCUCCGCAGCUACAUGCCCCACACCCAAUCAACCUCAAGCCCUGAAAGGCAGCUUAGCUUAAUGGUUAGGAGCUGGGUCUUGAAAGCACAACUGCCUGUUUUUUUCUUAACUUGGUUCUGUCAUGAACAAAUGUUCAAACUUGGGAAAGCUUCUUCACCUCUGAGUCUCAGUUUCCAAAUCUUCAAAAUGGGCUUGAUCACAGUAGCUCCUACCUUACAGUUAUUGUCAAAUCGAUUGAGCUAAAACAUACGCAGCACUUAGAACUAGGACUGGCAGGAAGUGAGUAAAUGUUAGCUUCAUUAUCCUAUCCAACCUUGGGGAUAUCUCAUGAAUAUAUUCACUCUUUUUUCUCAUGAAUAUAUUCACUGUUCUUCUGA